UUACAGUGUCGCUGUUUUAUCAAUUAUAAAAGUAAGCAUUAUAAAGCCUUACACCACACGUGCUCUAUAAACUAGUACUUUUCUGUGUGUUAAGUUGGCCUGUUCUUUUUCUUUUAUUUGUCUAAAGUUACAGAUUUGAAACAUUCAGCAGCACGUGACCCCCUGCCAAGAAAUAAUACAACAUGGAAUGAAAAAGAUGGCAACAAUUUACCUGCCUGGGGGAUUGCUUUAAUCGUAAUCCUGGUUGCUGGAGCUGUUUCUGCCUUUAUUUUUUUCAUUGGAAAAAGGGCAAAAUGCUUUGGUAAACCAAUACCUGUACUUUAGUGGCGAUGAUUUGUGCCUUCAAGCAAAUCACCUCAGGUUGCUCCAGAGGGACUGUGCCUGGAAAACAGUACAUGUUAUACUGUAUAAGCCACUUUGGUAAAAAA